rnacentral:rRNA from 1 species
GAGUCUAACAUAUACGCGAGUAUUUGGGUGGUUCAAACCCGAGUGCGGAGUGAAAGCGAGAUCGAAGAGAGCGCGAGGGUGGGAGCCUUUCUUUGCCCGACGGACAAGAAAGAGGCACCAUCGGCCGACCUGGUGCGUGCAGCAGGCUUGAGCCAGAGCGUGUACGUUGGGACCCGAAAGAUGGUGAACUAUGCCUGAGCAGGGUGAAGCCAGGGGAAACUCUGGUGGAAGCUCGUCGCGAUACUGACGUGCAAAUCGUUCGUUGGACUUGGGUAUAGGGGCGAAAGACUCAUCGAACUAUCUAGUAGCUGGUUCCCUCCGAAGUUUCCCUCAGGAUAGCUGGAACAUGUACAGUUUUAUCAGGUAAAGCUAAUGAUUAGAGGUCCUGGAGUUGUAACAACUUUAACCUAUUCUCAAACUUUAAAUAGGUAAGAAGCUGGGUGAUGCUUGAGUGAUCCCCAGCCUCG